CGCAGCCGCGGUAAUUCCAGCUCCAAUAGCGUAUAUUAAAGUUGUUGCAGUUAAAAAGCUCGUAGUUGAAUUUCGGGAUUGACACAUCGGUCGUACCUUAAGGGGUGUGAACUGGUGUAGUCAAUUUCUCACCUUCUGGAGAACCGCGAUGUCCUUAAUUGGGUGCCGCGAGGAACCAGGACCUUUACUUUGAAAAAAUUAGAGUGUUUAAAGCAGGCAUUUUUGCUUGAAUACAUUAGCAUGGAAUAAUAAAAUAGGACGGCAUGAUUCUAUUUUGUGGUUUCUAGGACCACCGUAAUGAUUAAUAGGGAUAGUUGGGGGCAUUAGUAUUCAAUUGUCAGAGGUGAAAUUCUUGGAUUUAUUGAAGACUAACUACUGCGAAAGCAUUUGCCAAGGAUGUUUUCAUUAGUCAAGAACGAAAGUUAGGGGAUCGAAGACGAUCAGAUACCGUCGUAGUCUUAACCAUAAACUAUGCCGACUAGGAAUCAGACGAUGUUAAUUUUUAAUGACUCGUUUGGCACCUUACGG
rnacentral:rRNA from 1 species